rnacentral:rRNA from 1 species
AUUGAACGCUGGCGGCAGGCCUAACACAUGCAAGUCGAACGAGUGGCGGACGGGUGAGUAAUGUCUGGGAAACUGCCUGAUGGAGGGGGAUAACUACUGGAAACGGUAGCUAAUACCGCAUACCAUCAGAUGUGCCCAGAUGGGAUUAGCUUGUUGGUGGGGUAACGGGUCACCAAGGCGACGAUCCCUAGCUGGUCUGAGAGGAUGACCAGCCAAAUUGGAACAGAGACACGGUCGGUACUCCUACGGGAGUGGGCAGUGGGGAAUAGUGCACAAUGGGCGGAGGCCUGAUGCAGCCAAGCCGCGUGUAUGAAGAGGGCCUUCGGGUUGUAAAGUACGUUCAGCGGGGAGGCGGUACCCGCAGAAGAAGCACCGGCUAACUCCGUGCCAGCAGCCGCGGUAAUUC